GGCAGCCGUCCGCCUUGACGGGGCUCGCAAGCUGGUGCCACCGCUGGGAGCCAACGACCCGCAGCACAUCAGGCUUCCCGCACCUGGUUCCUGGCCCUCUGUGGGUGGCAUCGGCAGCACCAGAGCCCCUUCCGGCGCUGCCCCACUGCCCACUCGCUCUCUCUGACAGGGCAGGGUGGGAUGGAGACCCUCAGGGCGAGGGGUGCGUGUGGAGAAGGGUGGCCUUGGACUGCUGGCUGGACCAGGGGGCUGCCUGCCCCAGCCUCCAACCCAGGCCCACUGCCUGGGCGAGAUUCUUUGUCUGGCCGAGCCCCAAACACAGGCCCAGGCCCUGGGGGAGCGCUCGGGGCAGCCCUGGCUCUGUCUUGGGGUACACAGAGGAGGCGGGGACACUCUCAGAGCCCUUCCCUUUCCCUGGUGCCUCCCCCCAAGAACAGGGCGGGUGCCUCUCUGCCAGACAAAGGGCCCCCGAGUGCCUGAGGCAGGGGGCUGGCCCGCGAGGAGGACCCUGGGCAGUUUUGCCCAGACAGGCUGACCAGGAAGUUAUUGGACAUCCUGGCUGGAUUGGGACUGCAGAGCUUUCGCCCUGCAGGCUGCCCUCCCACCCUCCAAGCCAGCUCUCCCAAACUCCCAGGAGGAGGAGGGCAGGGCAGGGUGGGGGGACCUGGACCCCCAAUACACCUCUCCCCUCACCCUGCUGGCUGAGACCUUUGGGCCCAUUGGAAUGUGGCACUCAAGGCAGGGGGGGGAGGGGGGAGCCAGGCAGCCUGUGGUUUCAUCCUGCUGAGCUGGAGGCGCUGAGCACAGCACGGCCUGUCCAGCUGCAGCGAGGAGCCGCUCCCUCGUGGGGCAAUCUCUGCUGACACCUCUCAGCGCUCCAGGGCUCCUCGUCUCCCCUCCAGGAGGAGGGAAAGGGACCCCCUCCCCACCCUGGGCAUGGGGGGGGCUUGGCAUGGCAUGUCCAAAGGCCUCCCUGUGUAGAAAUGCUUUGUCAAAGAGAGCACCCAGGGAGAGCCAGGUCACACGCACCCCAUCCAGAAGAAGACUGCGGUUGUCUGCCCAGGGGAAGCUUAUUCUGCACGAGGCCUGGAGACCUGAGACCCCCCAGGGUCAUCCUGUGACUCAAGAGGGGCAGGGAAUCCACCCCCCCUUCUGUCCCCCAGGAGGCUCCAGUGACCCACCUGGAGUUUCCCUCUUCUGCUCCCAGACAGAGCAGGGGAGGCCUCCUUUGUCUCCCUGCUUCCUUCCAUGGUGUCUCAU
rnacentral:lncRNA from 1 species